rnacentral:rRNA from 1 species
AGUGAACGCUGGCGGUAGGCCUAACACAUGCAAGUCGAACGGCAGCACAGUAAGAGCUUGCUCUUACGGGUGGCGAGUGGCGGACGGGUGAGGAAUACAUCGGAAUCUACUUUUUCGUGGGGGAUAACGUAGGGAAACUUACGCUAAUACCGCAUACGACCUACGGGUGAAAGCAGGGGAUCUUCGGACCUUGCGCGAUUGAAUGAGCCGAUGUCGGAUUAGCUAGUUGGCGGGGUAAAGGCCCACCAAGGCGACGAUCCGUAGCUGGUCUGAGAGGAUGAUCACCCACCCUGGAACUUAGACACGGUCCAGACUCCUACGGGAGGCAGCAGUGGGGAAUAUUGGACAAUGGGCGCAAGCCUGAUCCAGCCAUACCGCGUGGGUGAAGAAGGCCUUCGGGUUGUAAAGCCCUUUUGUUGGGAAAGAAAAGCAGCAGGUUAAUACCACGCUGUUCUGACGGUACCCAAAGAAUAAGCACCGGCUAACUUCGUG